rnacentral:rRNA from 1 species
GACGAACGCUGGCGGCGUGCCUAAUACAUGCAAGUUGAGCGCUGAAGGUUGGUACUUGUACCAACUGGAUGAGCAGCGAACGGGUGAGUAACGCGUGGGGAAUCUGCCUUUGAGCGGGGGACAACAUUUGGAAACGAAUGCUAAUACCGCAUAAAAACUUUAAACACAAGUUUUAAGUUUGAAAGAUGCAAUUGCAUCACUCAAAGAUGAUUCCGCGUUGUAUUAGCUAGUUGGUGAGGUAAAGGCUCACCAAGGCGAUGAUACAUAGCCGACCUGAGAGGGUGAUCGGCCACAUUGGGACUGAGACACGGCCCAAACUCCUACGGGAGGCAGCAGUAGGGAAUCUUCGGCAAUAGACGAAAGUCUGACCGAGCAACGCCGCGUGAGUGAAGAAGGUUGUCGGAUCGUAAAACUCUGUUGGUAGAGAAGAACGUUGGUGAGAGUGGAAAGCUCAUCAAGUGACGGUAACUACCCAGAAAGGGACGGCUAACUACGUG